rnacentral:rRNA from 1 species
UACGUAGGGAGCAAGCGUUGUCCGGAAUCAUUGGGCGUAAAGCGCGCGUAGGUGGCCACAUAAGUCCGUUGUGAAAGUCAAAAGGCUCAACCUUUGAAAGCCGAUGGAUACUGUGUGGCUAGAGUACGGAAGAGGCGAGUGGAAUUCCUGGUGUAGCGGUGGAAUGCGCAGAUAUCAGGAGGAACACCAAUAGCGAAGGCAGCUCGCUGGGACGUUACUGACACUGAGGCGCGAAAGCCAGGGGAGCGAACGGGG